ACGAUGGAGAGUUUGAUCCUGGCUCAGGAUGAACGCUAGCGGCAGGCCUAAUACAUGCAAGGCGAAGGGGCAGCAAUGUCACUGUCGUACGGGUGCGUAACGCGUAUGCAACCUACCUAUCACAGGGGAAUAGCCUUUGGAAACAGGGAUUAAUACCGCAUAAAGCAGGGACUCCGCAUGGAGAUAUUGCUAAAGAUUUAUC
rnacentral:rRNA from 1 species